CAGAGGGUGCGAGCGUUGUUCGGAAUUAUUGGGCGUAAAGGGAGUGUAGGCUGUUUGGAAAGUCUUCUGUGAAAUCUACGGGCUUACCCUGUAAAGUGCAGAGGAAACUACCAGGCUUGAGUGUCGGAGAGGACAGGGGAAUACCCAGUGUAGAGGUGAAAUUCGUAGAGAUUGGGUGGAACACCAGUGGCGAAGGCGCCUGUCUGGCUGACAACUGACGCUGAGACUCGAAAGCAUGGGGAGCAAACAGGAUUAGAUACCCUGGUAGUCCAUGCCGUAAACGAUGAUAGCUAGAUGUGUGAGGUAUUGACCCCUUACGUGUCGAAGUCAACACGAUAAGCUAUCCGCCUGGGGAGUACGGUCGCAAGAUUAA
rnacentral:rRNA from 1 species